AGCGAGCCGUUGGGGGUCCUGACAGUGUAGAGCACCACGCCUAUUUAAUACCUUCCGUACAGGUAAAGCAGGCAGCAGUUGAGGCACAGAGCUUCCCCUUUGCCCAGGAGCAUCUAUUUAUUGGUACUGAUACGAAGCCGCUUCCCAGCCGUCACUGCCGUAACAGGAGCAGGACUUGGUUUCCAUAGGAAAGAAAGUCUUCCAAAUAUAUGGCACCAGAGUGUGAAACUCUACACCUGUACCCAGCGAGGAUCCAGGCUCUGUUUGCACGUCAGAUGUAGAGCUGGUGGGAGGCCAGGGUGUCCAUGAAAGGGCGCACCGGCUGGUUGGUGAGAAGUACAAGAUGAGCCCAAAGGUGACGGGGAUGGGGAGGGCAGGCAGCGCCUUCUUGAACCGAGCAAGCAGCAGGAGAGUCAGACACAGGCCGAUCAGGAUGGCCACGAAGCAGGCCAGCGUGGUGUUCCAGUCUCCACUUCCUGGGGCCGCCGCCUUGCCUACCAGGACGCUGUAGAAGAUGAAGUCUCCCAGGCCCAGCUUCACGCCCCUUUCCUCCUCUUCCUCCAGCUCCUCCCCUGCCCCCUUUGAGUUUCUUGGCAUCUACCUUCCCUACUGUCCCAUGGAUAUGCAUAUGUAAAACUUAGAAGCUGAGAUCAGCAAAUGAGAAA